rnacentral:rRNA from 1 species
AUGGUUAAGUUAGAAAGGGCGCACGGUGGAUGCCUUGGCACUAGGAGCCGAAGAAGGACGGGACUAACACCGAUAUGCUUUGGGGAGCUGUACGUAAGCGUUGAUCCAGAGAUUUCCGAAUGGGGGAACCCACUAUCUUUAGUCGGAUAGUAUCCUUACGUGAAUACAUAGCGUAAGGAAGGCAGACCCAGGGAACUGAAACAUCUAAGUACCUGGAGGAAGAGAAAGAAAAAUCGAUUUCCUGAGUAGCGGCGAGCGAAACGGAAAGAGCCCAAACCAAGAAGCUUGCUUCUUGGGGUUGUAGGACACUCUAUACGGAGUUACAAAGGAAUGUGGUAAACGAAGUGGUCUGGAAAGGCCCGCCAAAGAAGGUAACAGCCCUGUAAUUGAAAGCAUAUUCCCUCCAGAGUGGAUCCUGAGUACGGCGGAACACGUGAAAUUCCGUCGGAAUCCGGGAGGACCAUCUCCCAAGGCUAAAUACUCCCUAGUGACCGAUAGUGAACCAGUACCGUGAGGGAAAGGUGAAAAGCACCCCGGAAGGGGAGUGAAACAGUUCCUGAAACCGUGUGCCUACAAGUAGUUAGAGCCCGUUAAUGGGUGAUAGCGUGCCUUUUGUAGAAUGAACCGGCGAGUUACGAUUUGUUGCAAGGUUAAGCGGAAAAAGCGGAGCCGUAGCGAAAGCGAGUCUGAAUAGGGCGCAUGAGUAACAGGUCGUAGACCCGAAACCAGGUGAUCUACCCAUGUCCAGGAUGAAGGUGAGGUAAUACUCACUGGAGGUCCGAACCCACGCACGUUGAAAAGUGCGGGGAUGAGGUGUGGGUAGCGGAGAAAUUCCAAUCGAACCUGGAGAUAGCUGGUUCUCUCCGAAAUAGCUUUAGGGCUAGCCUCGAGGUAAAGAGUCGUGGAGGUAGAGCACUGUUUGGACUAGGGGCCCUUCUCGGGUUACCGAAUUCAGAUAAACUCCGAAUGCCAUGUACUUAUACUCGGGAGUCAGACUGCGAGUGAUAAGAUCCGUAGUCGAAAGGGAAACAGCCCAGACCACCAGUUAAGGUCCCAAAAUAUAUGUUAAGUGGAAAAGGAUGUGGGGUUGCAUAGACAACCAGGAUGUUGGCUUAGAAGCAGCCACCAUUGAAAGAGUGCGUAAUAGCUCACUGGUCGAGUGACCCCGCGCCGAAAAUGUACCGGGGCUAAACAUAUUACCGAAACUGUGGAUGAACCUCUUAGGAGGUUCGUGGUAGGAGAGCGUUCUAAGGGCGGUGAAGUCAGACCGGAAGGACUGGUGGAGCGCUUAGAAGUGAGAAUGCCGGUAUGAGUAGCGAAAGAAGGGUGAGAAUCCCUUCCACCGAAUAUCUAAGGUUUCCUGAGGAAGGCUCGUCCGCUCAGGGUUAGUCGGGACCUAAGCUGAGGCCGAUAGGCGUAGGCGAUGGACAACAGGUAGAUAUUCCUGUACCAGUGCUAGUUGUUUGAGCAAUGGGGUGACACAGAAGGAUAGGGAAUCGCACAGAUGGAAACGUGCGUCCAAGCAGUGAGUGUGAGAAGUAGGCAAAUCCGCUUCUCGCGAAGCAUGAGCUGUGAUGGGGAAGGAAAU